UGAGAACGCUGAUCCAUGAAAUUGUACUAUGUCGCUCUUUUUCGGUGCUUCCGGAGAACUUUAAAUACUCGCCACUUUUCUAUCGGAAGGAUGUACACGUAAUUACGUGUAACUGUUUCAGAGAAUGAGCAUAUAUAUAUAUAUUUUUAUAACGAAUAGAAUCUGACCGCCGGUAAACAAGCAUAUCAAAACCCUAUACUGUGGAAUCAUUAGAAUUCGUGAUGGCUCAAUUUUCGUGGUAUUCGUGGGUAGCCGUCCCCAACGAAUUUAAAUCCUCAACAAAAACAAUUUUAGAAAGAGUUAUCUUUGUUGCUGAAACAGUAAUCAUCACAUCCACGAAAUUACACCCCUACGAAUCAGCAAAAAAGUCAUGAUCCAAGAAAAUUGGCCCACACGAGUUUAAAUGAUUUCACAGUAUCUUGUGGAAGGAAAAAUUCAUUGAUUUUGAAAAAGGUCGAUGGCUUCAACUUAACAGUAACACUUGUAUGGUCAAACAAGCUUUGACCUUUUUCUUCAUUUUGCUGUGUAUACAAAAUUAAAGAUUUCAAAACGUACAUUAAAUUAUGUAAGCUGUUUUUUUGUAAUUAUUUUCAUAUAAUCAUAUUUUGCUGAAUAAAAACAAGAUGGAUAUG
rnacentral:misc_RNA from 1 species